rnacentral:rRNA from 1 species
UUGCCUCAGUAACGGCGAGUGAAGCGGCAAUAGCUCAAAUUUGAAAUCUGCUCUUUGAGCCGAAUUGUAAUUUGUAGAGGAUGCUUCGGCUUACGUUUCGGUCUAAGUUCCUUGGAACAGGACGUCAUAGAGGGUGAGAAUCCCGUCUGUGGCCGAGACUUCCGCCAUGUGAAGCUCCUUCGACGAGUCGAGUUGUUUGGGAAUGCAGCUCUAAAUGGGAGGUAUAUUUCUUCUAAAGCUAAAUACCGGCCAGAGACCGAUAGCGCACAAGUAGAGUGAUCGAAAGAUGAAAAGCACUUUGGAAAGAGAGUUAAAAAGUACGUGAAAUUGUUGAAAGGGAAGCGUUUGCGACCAGACUUGCCUGCGGAUGCUCAAUCGGUCCUUCGGCCGAUGCACUCUUCCGCAGUCAGGCCAGCAUCAGUUCGAGUAGCCAGAUAAAGGCAUUGGGAAUGUGGCUCUCUUCGGGGAGUGUUAUAGCCCUUUGUGCAAUAUGGUUCAUUUGGACUGAGGCCCGCGCUUCGGCUAGGAUGCUGGCGUAAUGGUCGUAAGCGGCCCGUCUUGAAACACGGACCAAGGAGUCUAACAUCUAUGCGAGUGUUUGGGUGUCAAACCCGUGCGCGAAAUGAAAGUGAACGGAGGUGGGAACCUUUGGGUGCACCAUCGACCGAUCCUGAUGUCUUCGGAUGGAUUUGAGUAAGAGCAUAGCUGUUGGGACCCGAAAGAUGGUGAACUAUGCCUGAAUAGGGUGAAGCCAGAGGAAACUCUGGUGGAGGCUCGCAGCGGUUCUGACGUGCAAAUCGAUCGUCAAAUUUGGGUAUAGGGGCGAAAGACUAAUCGAA